AACAUUUCCAGAAAUUUAUCAAUGUAAUAUAUGCUCAGAUAUUAUAAGCACAAAAUGAUGUUACACUUGUCAAAAAAAUACAUGACUUUUGAAAGGUGCAGGAAUCUAAUAUCUGUUCUAAAAAUAUAAAUGGUGUCAUUGUUUAACUCAUCUUGGAACAAUUGGAGUUAUCAUCCUUUGUCUAGAAUUGCUGUUAAAUCAACUACAAUCAAUGCAAUAUUUACUUUUACUUCCCACUGAUAAAUUGAAGAAAUCUAUACCCUCAGUGCUUUCAAGCACUUUAAUUUUUUUCCGUUUUGGAGGCCAA
rnacentral:lncRNA from 1 species